GCUGUCUAAUGGUCUUCUUUGGAAGGCCGGUGAGGAGGCCAUUACAAUAAUCCACCCUGCUGAUGAUAAAGGCAUGAACAAGUUUCUCCAAGUCUAGACUGGAAACAAAACAUCUAAUUCUUGCAAUGUUUUUGAGAUGAUAGUAUGCUGAUUAACCCAGACAGCACAUGUACGUCUGGCCGAUGUCGGCCCAAUAUCGAAACGUCGGCCUCACUACCUGAAACAUCUAAUAAACAUCGGCCAGGCGUAGGCCGAUAUAAUUCGGUCAGUGCUCUGUUUUCCAGCUCAUCAGUCGUCGGCUCUGAGUCGGUUCACGACCGCAGGCCGAUGCCGCGCUUUUCUGUUUGCGGCGAGCCCAGUUAUUCAUCUCUUAGCAACCCACAGAGAGAAGACACUGGUCCCGGUGACAUCUGUGCUUUCAGGCUGCCAGAAAGAAUCCGUCUCUAUACGGUGAGCUAUUGUUGCUGUUGCUUUUUGAACUACAAAUUGAGUUUUAAGUUCAUUAUUGAAUAUUAAUUGAACGAGACUGUAAUUUAUUAAUGUAAUAUUUUAAUCCUAUAUGUUUAUUUGUGUAAAUGCUGUGUGCGCGUUGAGCUCUGCGCGAGCGGGGAGCAGAGUUGCCAUGGAAACGGGGCGUUGACACAACUACUGGCGAACAGUAAUCUCAGUCUCGCGCUGCGGGUUUCACUGAUUUCAGGAGGACAGAAAGAAACUCUACAUAACAGAAGGGAAGCUCCAAGAUUUCAACAUUUCUGAAGGGAGCUACUGACUUAGAAAAAUACAGAUUCUUCAGUGGUGAUGGCCUGCUGCACCCAGCAGAGUUGGAGUGAACCUAUUGUCAGACAGUGGCGUACCCUGGGGUUUCAGUCAGGGCCUUCAAUUCUUCAGUGCUGAUGGCCUGCUGCACCCAGCAGAGUCAGUGUGAACUCCUGUAAGACAACAUCACCAAGAUGCUAUAAACCGCAGGAUUAGAUGCCCAUCCCGAGGUUACUAGAGAUGAAGCCAGCUCCAGUUUGGAUCCAAACUCACUUGUGAAGAUGCCAACGCUCACAAAGACUACAGAUGACGGCAACUGUACAUGGACACACAAAACACUGGACACACAAAACAAAUAUUAUCCUUAUAUUGCCUAUAAGGGUAAGUUUGACAAUUUUCAACCCGCUAUUGUAUUAUUGCAACGUCUGUAAUAUCUGUAAAUGAACAAUAUUUACUCUUUCUCUGAGUUAUAUGGACCCUAUUUGUCCCCUUUUAUUUGUAAGCAGCACUUCGCAAGAUAACGCAAAAUGAAAUGAGUUUUGACAAAAUGACACAAACACUUCUGCAGCAUCUAAAUGAAAAAAUGCUGUUUUGCAUCAGUUUUGCUGACAAAUACACUGGGUAUCUUGGAGAAAGAAUAAACAUUGUUCUUUUACAUAUGUUACCAACAUUGUAACAAUACAAAAUGGACUGAAAAUUGUUGAACUUACCCUUUAAUAAUGUUGAAGGAUAAUGUUUAACUGAACACAAAAAUAGAGACUUUAAAUAAAAAUAUUUUAGAAUUUUUAUCAUGCUAUUUAAAAUUUUUAACUGCUUAUUUAUUGUUUGCCUGGUUUUUAAUUUGUGUUUAUGCAACUGUUGUAUUAUUGUAACUCAGUUUUUGCCAUGAAGAUAGCCUUCGAUGCUGACAGCACAGAACACAUGACUUGUUUUAUGAACUACUGUCAUAUGGACAUUAUUUUGUUGCCAGAAGAUGGUCUUCCCCAGUGAGUCUCAGUCACCUCUGGCUGAUUAAAGGAUGUUUUUAAAUUGUAACCUUGAAAUAUGCAUAUUCUGUAAACCUACUUUGAAAUGAUAAGUAUUGUGAAAAGUGCUAUACUUAUACAAUAUUUAACCAUGGUUUUACUAUAGUAAAACUGUAGCAAGCAUGAUUAUAGUAACCAUGUGUUUUUUUUUUUUUUGAAACCAUGCUUCGAUGUCAUAUUCUAUAGUAACAUUGUAGUAAUACUUCAGUAAAACUGGUAACUAUGACUAUAGUGACCAUAGUUUUUGAAAUUAUGGUAAAUGUUGUAACUAUGGUUUUACUGCAAAUGCUGUAGUAACGGUUAUUUUGUAGUUACUAUGGUUUUACUGCAACAGUCAUAGUUAAACCAUGGUUACUGUAGUAAAACUAUGGUAGAUUUUAUUUUUACUAUGGUUUUACUACUUUAAAUGCUAUAGUAAUGGUUAUUUUUGUACUUACUAUGGUUUUACUGCAACAGUUAUAGCUAAACCAUGGUUACUGUAGUAAAACUAUGGUAGAUUUUAUUUUUACUAUGGUUUUACUACUUUAAAUGCUAUAGUAAUGGUUAUUUUUGUACUUAUUAUGGUUUUACUGCAACAGUCAUAGUUAAACCAUGGUGAUUGUAGUAAAACUAUGGUUAAUUUUCAGUUUACUAUGGUUUUACUGCAAAUGCUGUGGUAAAAUCAUGGUUAAUUUUCAAAAGACUACAAAUAAUCGUGAAUUAUCCGCUUUUGAUCAAAACAUCUGGUAAAUGUAAAUGUAUUUGUAUGUGUAAUGUGUUAAAUGAAAAUAUUAAUAAAGUUGCAGCUGUUCUUGAGAGUGGUGUGUAUUGUUUUAUUAUAAACCAGCGGCGGCAGCUGCAGGUGGUCCGUAACGAUGAGCAAAACGCCGGUGAACCGCGUCCACGCAGAGCGGCCGGGAUUUACAGCUGCGUCGUCCCAACAUCGGCCGGAGGGCAUAUCCGAUCAGAGGCCGACGUCGCGGCGACGUAUUGCCGAUUAGCAAACGAUCCCUGAGCGACAUCGUGCCGACGAAAUUUUGUACAUCGGGCCG